rnacentral:piRNA from 1 species
UGAUUUCAAAAUUUGCAGCGA